rnacentral:rRNA from 1 species
GACGAACGCUGGCGGCGUGCUUAACACAUGCAAGUCGAACGGAAAGGCCCUGCUUUUGUGGGGUGCUCGAGUGGCGAACGGGUGAGUAACACGUGAGUAACCUGCCCUUGACUUUGGGAUAACUUCAGGAAACUGGGGCUAAUACCGGAUAGGAGCUCCUGCUGCAUGGUGGGGGUUGGAACGUUUCGGCGGAUGGGGAUGGACUCGCGGCUUAUCAGCUUGUUGGUUGGGUAGUGGCUUACCAAGGCUUUGACGGGUAGCCGGCCUGAGAGGGUGACCGGCCACAUUGGGACUGAGAUACGGCCCAGACUCCUACGGGAGGCAGCAGUGGGGAAUAUUGCACAAUGGGCGGAAGCCUGAUGCAGCAACGCCGCGUGCGGGAUGACGGCCUUCGUGUUGUAAACCGCUUUCGCCUGUGACGAAGCGUGAGUGACGGUAAUGGGUAAAGAAGCACCGGCUAACUACGUG